CCUACGGGAGGCAGCAGUGAGGAAUAUUGGUCAAUGGGCGAGAGCCUGAACCAGCCAAGUCGCGUGAAGGAUGACGGCCCUACGGGUUGUAAACUUCUUUUGUCAGGGAGCAAUUGGGUCCACGCGUGGGCUUUGCGAGAGUACCUGAAGAAAAAGCAUCGGCUAACUCCGUGCCAGCGGCCGCGGUAAUACGGAGGAUGCGAGCGUUAUCCGGAUUUAUUGGGUUAAAGGGGUGCGUAGGCGGAAUAGAAAGUCAGCGGGAAAAAUUCGGGACUCAAACACGUCGUGCCGUUGAAACUGAUGUUCUUGAGUGGGCGAGAAGUAUGCGGAAUGCGUGGUGUAGCGGUGAAAUGCAUAGAUAUCACGCAGAACUCCGAUUGCGAAGGCAGCAUACCGGCGCCCAACUGACGCUGAAGCACGAAAGCGUGGGGAUCGAACAGGAUUAGAUACCCUUGUAGUC
rnacentral:rRNA from 1 species